rnacentral:lncRNA from 1 species
GAAAUGGCCAGUGUCUCAGCCCCAGUGAUGCCAAAUCUGCCAAGGCUUUUAUAGAACAGUCUAGAUCCUUUGAUGAUCACUGAGAUAUUGAAGAGGAAGAAUGUACAAGAACAUUUUCCAUAAUAUUGAAGUCCUACACAGUACUGCUAGAAAACAAAGCCACCAAAAAAGCAAAUAUUUGGGAUAUUUUUGUUCUUAAAACCAUCACAAAUUUCCCAAGUGAUAGAAAACUGUGAUAGAGAGUUUAAAAUGAUCUUGGCUGGACCUAAAAUAAAGAAUCCCAACUCUCUAAACAAGAAUAUUAAGUUGCAUAAGUCAGAAGACACUAGGACGUAAAUCUAUAAACAUGGUUCUCUUUGAACAACAAUCCAACUUUAUAAGUUUUAAAAUAAAUUAUGCAGGACUUCAGGAAACUUUCUCCAAACACUGAUCAGUUGUAUUACAAAUCCCUUUCACUAAAAAUCAGCUC